AUACCUUUGGAUGAAGUUCAUCUGGCCCUGCAGACUUGAAUUCAUUUAGAAUAGCCAGGCAUUCCUGUACUACCUCUUUACCUGUUCUGUGCUGCAUUUCCCCUACUGCAUCAUCUGCUCCAUGUUCCCUAUUUUGAGCACUGUUUUCUUUCUGGGAGAAGACCAUGGCAAAUAAGUUGUUGAGCAGUUCUGCCUUUUCCCUGUCCCGUUAGCAUUUCACCAUCUUCUCCAUGUGGCAGUGUCAGGAUAUGAAAGUCAGAACAGUAAGUUGUGACUGGAUGAAGAUGUAGCAAAUGGUAGGUGAAACCAGAACAAGGAAGCAAAGGAGCAUCUGUUUCUUCUGAAACUUCUUGGAUGGUAUUAUCUCAAUGUAGCUCAAUUCCUUUAUCAAGUACACAAACCCUAUGAUAUGAACUCAGAAUUACAGCCUGAAGGAGGAGACCUCAGAAGGAAGGCGAAAGCUUUAAGCAGGAGUUUGCUUCAGUGACAACACAACUGGAAUGUUCUUUAACAGAUGGCGGCUACAGCAGCCUGUUCAUUGUGGUGCACUGCAGCACUGUCUCUGCUAUGCGUGAGGACUCAAAAAGCUACCCCAAUGACCUUCAGGUUGCAAGGGAGUGAAAUGCUUUACAUUUCUAAGUGGAGAAGAAGCUCUUUUCUUGGCUGCACUAAGAUUCACAGUUGUUACCAGGAAUGAGGAUAACGAUGAUUAAAACACAAAUAUAGCUACAACAGGGGAAUCCUAAAGAAUGAGCCACUGGAUUGGGACCUUCCUAUUUGAGGUUUUGACCUUCAACAAAAGUAAAACAUUUUUUCUUCUUAAAUUUGGACUGGAUUGGCAUUUUUUACCUCAACACCACCUAAAGUUUUCCUGAUGCAAAAGCAUGAAGGCUUCUUGAGAAAUCCAGGGUCCUCCACCAUUUUUACUAAGAAGAGAAGAAGAAAAUGAAGGCCUAUGAAUAACAUCUUCAAUUUUUUCUCCUGUUUGGUUUGCAACACCUUGCCCAGUGAAGAAGGCAGUGAAGCUUUGAAAGCUUGCAACAUGUAUAUUGUGCAUUUUCAUUGGCCAAUAAAGAUAUUACUGU